UAUGUGGCUGCUGAUGAAGCCUCCAUCGCCCCCAUUCUGGCUGAGGCCCAGGCCCACUUUGGACGUAGGCUUGGCCUGGGUUCCUACCCUGACUGGGGCAGCAACUACUAUCAGGUGAAGCUGACUCUAGACUCAGAGGAAGAAGGACCCCUGGAGGAAUGCUUGGCCUACCUGACUGCCCGUUUGCCCCAGGGAUCGCUGGUCCCCUACAUGCCCAACGCUGUGGAGCAGGCCAGUGAGGCUGUAUACAAACUCGCUGAAUCAGGAAAUUACCUGAUGUUCCAAACCCCCUCCAGAUCCUGUAUAUCCGCAGCAUCUCCCCUUUCCCUGAGCUGGAACAGUUUCUACAGGACACUAUCAAGAGGACUGGACCUACAGAGACAUCUGGGAUUUUCUGCGUCAGCUGUUUGUCCCAUACUGUAUCCUGUAUGACCGAGGAUACACAUCACUGGGGAGUCGGGAGAAUACCGUGCGGAACCCGGCCCUGAAGUGCCUGAGCCCAGGAGGACACCCCACAUACCGUCCAGCCUAUCUACUGGAGAACGAAGAAGAGGAGCGGAACUCCCGCACAUGACCUCCCACCCUAGGAGGGAGGGAAGGACACCGUCCUAGGGUAUAACCUGGCAAUAAACCGUGCCUCUCACUGUG
rnacentral:lncRNA from 1 species